AUGUAAGAGACUACUGAUGGA
rnacentral:siRNA from 1 species